CCUACGGGUGGCAGCAGUGAGGAAUAUUGGUCAAUGGACGAGAGUCUGAACCAGCCAAGUAGCGUGAAGGAUGACUGCCCUAUGGGUUGUAAACUUCUUUUAUAUGGGAAUAAAAUGUUCCACGUGUGGGAUUUUGUAUGUACCAUCUGAAUAAGGAUCGGCUAACUCCGUGCCAGCAGCCGCGGUAAUACGGAGGAUCCGAGCGUUAUCCGGAUUUAUUGGGUUUAAAGGGAGCGUAGGUGGAUUGUUAAGUCAGUUGUGAAAGUUUGCGGCUCAACCGUAAAAUUGCAGUUGAAACUGGCAGUCGUGAGUACAGUAGAGGUGGGCGGAAUUCGUGGUGUAGCGGUGAAAUGCUUAGAUAUCACGAAGAACUCCGAUUGCGAAGGCAGCUCACUGGACUGCAACUGAUACUGAGGCUCGAAAGUGUGGGUAUCAAACAGGAUUAGAUACCCCUGUAGUC
rnacentral:rRNA from 1 species